rnacentral:rRNA from 1 species
CAGCCGCCACGGUAAAACAGAGGGUGCGAGCGUUAAUCGGAUUUACUGGGCGUAAAGCGUGCGUAGGCGGCUUUUUAAGUCGGAUGUGAAAUCCCUGAGCUUAACUUAGGAAUUGCAUUCGAUACUGGGAAGCUAGAGUAUGGGAGAGGAUGGUAGAAUUCCAGGUGUAGCGGUGAAAUGCGUAGAGAUCUGGAGGAAUACCGAUGGCGAAGGCAGCCAUCUGGCCUAAUACUGACGCUGAGGUACGAAAGCAUGGGGAGCAAACAGGAUUAGAUACCCCCGUAGUCCCUGUCUCUUAUAC